rnacentral:lncRNA from 1 species
UUUCAUUUCACCAGAGCUGCUCUCUAAACCAGAGUGAAAUAUACUAUAAACAUACACUACAGAUAAUCUACAGCUACCUCUCUACACAGAAAAUCACAUCCUAAAAGAAGAUUAUGAAGACCAUGACCUCACUUCUGUACACUACAGCUGUUUCAUGCCUUAUCCUCUGUAUACGUUCUGUUUCAGCUCAGUCUCGUCUCUUCAUGACGGUGAACGCUGGAUCCUCGGCUGUUCUGCCGUGUGAUUGGACAGCAGUCUCCAGCACUCCGUCGUCCAAUCAGAGCCUCCACAUCGAGUGGAGAACGUUUUCUGAGACGGUGUUUGAGCGCUGGGGGGAGAAGCAUUAUGAGGGGGAGGGGUAUGAAGGUCGGGUUGAUGUUCCUGAAGAUAAACUGAAGAAAGGAAACUGUUCUCUGGUUCUGAAGGAGGUUAAA